CAUAUCAGUCAUGCAUAGCAUAUCAAUAAGCGGAGGAAAAGAAACUAACAAGGAUUCCCUUAGUAACGGCGAGUGAAGCGGGAAGAGCUCAAAUUUGAAAUCUUCAAGGUUCUACCUUGACGAAUUGUAGUUUAUAGAAGUGUUUUCUGUUAGUGGAGUGGCAAAAGUUCUUUGGAAUAGGACAUCAUAGAGGGUGAGAAUCCCGUAUUUGGUCAUUCCUCCUAGCGUUGUGAUACACUUUCAACGAGUCGGAUUGUUUGGGAAUGCAGUCCAAAAUGGGUGGUAAAUUUCAUCUAAAGCUAAAUAUUGGCGAGAGACCGAUAGCGAACAAGUACCGUGAGGAAAGAUGAAAAGAACUUUGAAAAGAGAGUUAAACAGUACGUGAAAUUGUCAAAAGGGAAGCGUUUGACACCAGUGUUGUUUUUCCGAAAAUCAAUUACGAAUGUUUUAGUUUUUGAGGAGUUAUGACUUCAUCGGCUUGCUUCCUCUCUUUACUGAAACUUUCUUAAUGCACUUUUCGGUUAACAAGUCAACAUCAAUUUCUUUUGUUGUAAAAGGGUAUGAGGAAGGUGGCUUUCUUUUCGGAGAAAGUGUUUAUAGCCUUGUGCCUCUGCAAUCGGAGAGAUUGAGGUCUGCAGCGUAGAUCCUUCGGGGUUAGAUACGUUUGUGCUAAGUUAUAGCUUUUCAUAGACAACUUGUUCGACUAUGUUUAGUCUUGUAGCUUACUCGCUUACGCUAUUUUACCUACGCUUAGGAUGUUGAUCUCUCACAGUCGAGC
rnacentral:rRNA from 1 species